UAACACGUGACCUUCCUGUCUUUGCAGGUGGAGUGUCCAGCGCUCAAGUCAAAAAGCUGUUUCCAUGACAACGAGGCAGACCCCUCAUGUGACACUUCCUUUGCUCUGAAUGGUCACCUCUCCAUCUUCAUGCCGUUGACCUAUCAGGAUAUGGAAGCUCAGCUGAGGCGGAGCUCCAGACUCAGGAAGCUCACAGCCGCACUGUGUCUAGCCUACGGCGUCAAAAAGCUGUGUCCCUAUGUAUGGAGGAGGCUACAGGGGAGCUCAACAGGUAAACAGGUGGGCGGGGCUAAUCUGCCUGUAAGCUCCUCCUCCAGUUUUGAUGUCACUGUAGGAGGAACAAAGAGCGAAAGCAGGUCCCCCUCAGUGAACAAAGACUUCCUGCUUAGGCUGUCCCGUCUGUUGGGGCUCUUGUUUCCACAGUUACUGUGUCCAGAGGUGGGCCUGCUGGCUCUGCACUCCGUCACCCUGAUCUCCAGAACCUUCCUCUCCAUCUAUGUGGCCUCUCUGGACGGUGUGAUCGUCAGGUGCAUCGUGCAGAAGGACCCCCAGGCCUUCGUGCUGGAGCUCUCCAAGUGGCUCCUGGUCGCUGUUCCUGCCACCUUCAUCAACAGCACCAUCAGGUUCCUGGAGGGCCAGCUGAGCCUCCGCUUCAGGAGCCGAUUGGUGGAACACGCUUACCAGCUGUACUUCAGCAACCAGACGUACUACAGAGUCAGCAACAUGGACGCUCGCCUCUGUAACCCCGACCAGUCUCUCACUGAGGACAUCGUCAUGUUCUCCGCUUCUGUUGCUCAUCUCUACUCAAACCUCACCAAGCCCAUCCUGGACGUGGUGGUGACCUGCUACACGCUGCUGGGGACCGCCCAGUCCAAAGGAGCAAACACCACGUGGCCGUCUGUCAUCGCCGGCCUGGUGGUGGCGCUCACCGCCAAAGUGCUUCGCUCCUGCUCGCCUCGUUUCGGGAAGCUGGUGGCCGAGGAGGCCAAAAGAAAAGGAGAUCUGAGGUACAUGCACUCUCGCAUCAUCGCCAACUCUGAGGAGAUCGCCUUCUACGGAGGCCACAAGGUGGAGAUGGCCCAGCUGCAGCAGAGCUACGUGUCUCUGUCCUCUCAGAUCCAUCAGAUCCUGGUGAAGCGUCUGUGGUACGUCAUGCUGGAACAGUUCCUCAUGAAGUACGUAUGGAGCGCCUCCGGCCUGGUGAUGGUCGCUGUGCCAAUCAUCACUGCCACGGGAUACUCCAGAUACGACUCUGAGGAGGUGAAGCAGGCGGCCCUGGUGAUGAAGGAGGAGGAUCUAGUGAGCGAAAGGACUCAGGCCUUCACCACAGCCAGAAACCUCCUCAGCGCUGCAGCUGAUGCUGUGGAGAGGAUCAUGAGCUCAUACAAGGAGGUGACGGAGCUGGCAGGGUACACCGCCCGUGUCUCUGAGAUGUUGGAGGUGUUUGAGGAGGUGAAUGAAGGGGUCUACCGGCGCCCUGGAGGCAGAGAGGAGGUGUCAUCAGGGGGGCGGAGUUCCGCCCCACAGACAGCGGCUGCAGACCAGAGGUCAGGUGAUCAGUGUGGAGAAGGGGAUUCGCUGUGAGAACCUGCCAAUCAUCACACCAACCGGAGAUGUGGUGGUUUCUAGCCUCACCAUCCAGGUGACGCACACACACGCACACGCACACGCACACACACACACACACCGGUGUUGUAGUGUGUGUCGGUGACCACAUGGUGUCACUCUUGUCAUGUGAUUUCUUCAGGUCAACUUGUAUCUGAGGGCUGAAUACAAAGUACUUUUACUGCCUCAUUGUAGUAAAUGUACUUUAGUGCAUGUAGUACUGAACUAAAGUACACGUUUGAGUUACACUCUUUGUGUAUAUUAAAAUUGUAUAACACAGUACUUCUACUACAGUAAAGGUACUUUGUCCUCUAAUAGCAACAACAAACAUCUGAUGUGGAUCCUAUAAUCAUAUAGUCAUAAUAGUCGAGUUAUUGAUCUUCUGUCCCGAUGACGUCACGGAUGCUCAGUGCUGUUUCCACCAGCCUCACAUCUCUGACAGAGGUUAAAGGUCAGAGCUCAUUAGCAUUUACUGAAUCAGUGUGUGUGUGACCAGACACACAAUAGAGGGAUUAUAGACUGACAUUUUGUGGUUGGAGAGAAAAUCACCACAGAAGAAGAACAUUGAUGGACAGUCUCCUCUCUGUGAUCUGACUCUUGACCUUUGAACCCUGUACUGCGCGCUGGGAUUUGUCUCGCUCCUAAUUCACAGGUUGUGCAGUAGCAUCAGUUUACAGAUUUUUCUCAGAAACACACAUAUAUAUAUAUAUAUAUAUAUAUAUAUAUAUAUAUGUACACAUAGACACACACAGAGAGACACACACACAGACAAAGCACUAUACACGUUAUGUAGAUUGUAGAUUAUGUAAAUCCUUAAUUUUUGGGGCCACACGAGAGACGCAGAUGGUUGCUGAGGGCCAAUGAAACAUUCUACUACAAGACAUCAGACUAAGAUAGAAAACAUAUUUAGUUUCAGAUUAUUAAUAAUAAACUGACAUAUGACGUAGUUAUUAAAGCUUUUGUAUAGAACUCAGAAUUCCAGAAAUUAAAACAUGCUUUUCAAGUUUUGCAAUGAAACCAAAGAGCCUUAAAAUAAAAGUUCCCCUGCUCUUCUCUCUUCUGACCUGAAGUCACAACUUUGGACUCACAAUAGACAAAGCAAUGGGGAAGACAAGUGUAUAACUUGGAUAUUAAAGUUUGUGUCCUUCAGGUUGACGUGACGAUGAAUGUGUUGAUAACUGGUCCACACGGAUGCGUGAAGAGUUCUCUGUUCAGGAUCCUCAGCGGACAGUGGCCUGUUUAUGGAGGAGUGCUGUACCGCCCCGACCCACAACUCAUGUUCUACAUCCCACAGAGACCCUACAUGUCGGAGGGGACCCUCAGAGACCAGCUGAUCUACCCGGACUCGGAGGAGGAGAUGGUCAAGAGAGGAGUCACAGAUUCAGAUCUGGAGGAGACCCUUGCGACGGUCCACUUGCUCUACAUCCUGGACAGAGAGGGAGGUCCGUAGACGUUAAUAGUACUAAUA